GAUGAACGCUGGCGGCGUGCCUAAUACAUGCGAGUCGAGCGAACAUACGAGGAGCUUGCUCCUCUGACGUUAGCGGCUCACGGUUUAGUCACACGUGGUUAACCUACCUAUAAGACUGUGAUUACUUCGGGAAACCGGAGCUAAUACCGGACAAUCUAUUUACCCGCAUGGUUCACUAGUGCAAGCCGCUUUUGCUGUCACUUAUCGAUGGAUCCGCGCCGCAUUAGCUAGUUGGUAAGGUAACGGCUUACCAAGGCAACGAUGCGUAGCCGACCUGCGAGGGUGAUCGGCCACACUGGAACUGAGACACGGUCCAGACUCCUACGGGAGGCAGCAGUAGGGAAUCUUCCGCAAGGGGCGAAAGAGUGACGGAGCAACGCCGCGUGAGUGAUGAAGGUCUUCGGAUCGUAAAACUCUGUUAUUAGGGAAGAACAAAUGUGUAAGUAACUAUGCACGUCUUGACGGUACCUAAUCAGAAAGCCACGGCUAACUACGUG
rnacentral:rRNA from 1 species